rnacentral:rRNA from 1 species
CACAUGCAAGUCGAGCGGCAGCGGAAAGUAGCUUGCUACUUUGCCGGCGAGCGGCGGACGGGUGAGUAAUGUCUGGGAAACUGCCUGAUGGAGGGGGAUAACUACUGGAAACGGUAGCUAAUACCGCAUAAUGUCGCAAGACCAAAGAGGGGGACCUUCGGGCCUCUUGCCAUCAGAUGUGCCCAGAUGGGAUUAGCUAGUAGGUGGGGUAACGGCUCACCUAGGCGACGAUCCCUAGCUGGUCUGAGAGGAUGACCAGCCACACUGGAACUGAGACACGGUCCAGACUCCUACGGGAGGCAGCAGUGGGGAAUAUUGCACAAUGGGCGCAAGCCUGAUGCAGCCAUGCCGCGUGUAUGAAGAAGGCCUUCGGGUUGUAAAGUACUUUCAGCGGGGAGGAAGGUGUUGAGGUUAAUAACCUCAGCAAUUGACGUUACCCGCAGAAGAAGCACCGGCUAACUCCGUGCCAGCAGCCGCGGUAAUACGGAGGGUGCAAGCGUUAAUCGGAAUUACUGGGCGUAAAGCGCACGCAGGCGGUCUGUCAAGUCAGAUGUGAAAUCCCCGGGCUCAACCUGGGAACUGCAUUCGAAACUGGCAGGCUAGAGUCUUGUAGAGGGGGGUAGAAUUCCAGGUGUAGCGGUGAAAUGCGUAGAGAUCUGGAGGAAUACCGGUGGCGAAGGCGGCCCCCUGGACAAAGACUGACGCUCAUGUGCGAAAGCGUGGGGAGCAA